CCUACCAAGCAGCCCCGCAGGGUUUCGGGCAUUCGGCAUUCCCAAGUACCAUUCUGAGGUUCUCCGUUGCCUUCGUCAGAUCUCUCUCCGCAGUUGCUGCUUCCGCUGCCCUUUGUUUACUCUUUCCAUGGCGGUUCCAGGCCCAGUGUCAGCAUCUUUGCUUUCGUGGCUCGUGCAUCGGCCUUUACCUUUGGCAUCGUCUAUGGGAGUAUAAAGCUCUCCUAUCUCAAGGUGGGAAAAAAAGAAGUAACAAAGUCAAGGUACCAUAGAAUUGGAGAGGCAAUGGUGUAUAGAGGCAAUAUGCUUUCAAGUAUGAAAAUGCCUAGAUGUCAGCAUAUAUGAUCCCAUGGCAUCAGUGUCGUUCUGGAGGUAAUAAAACAUGACAUAGUGCUUCUUGCAACCAGUGACCUAGGGAUGGGAGCAAGGCAUUUAUGUUUUGUACAUGUUCGUAGCUAAUGUCAUAUUUUCCUUCUGACCCUUCCAGGCAAAGGCAACGUCUCACAAAAAGGAGGAGGCAAAGGGCCAUCACUGAAUGAAGGGAUGCAACCAGUUGAUGAUCCCCUCCUGAUAUGAAUCCAGCGAUAGAAUUUUUGUUAUCAUCUUUUGUUUUUUUUUUUUUUUGGCCUUUUCUUGUUGCAGUAUACUUUGCACGGGUUCAUGGUUCGUUCCAGGUUGCUCAAAUCUCGCGCAUGGAACAAGGGAGGAAUGUUUGAGAUAUUACCUCCUGUCCAAAAUAAUGGAUAUUCUUGAUGACAGCAGUUGAAAGUGAAUUUUGGACCCAUUUUACAUCAAAUCUGUUCACUUAAGAAAGAAGGGACACAAACUUGCUACCCACGCAAACAUCCGUGGGUCCAAACACGUCCCUUUCUUCCCGUGCAAAGCGUCAGUGGUGCUGCCUCGUCCUGUCUUGAAUUUUUCUUCUUGGUUUGGGAUAUGAUGGACGACUCGGAACUUUCCGGGAAAUUUCCAUUGGCAUAUUUCAAAGAUAUUGUGAAUUUUAAUUGAACUAAAGAAUAUUUUUCCUUGCAUAUUUUACCCUGAUCGAAGGACUUUGGCUUUGUCCACUCCAGCAUAAAAUAUCCUAUUACUUAAGUGAACACAAAAAAUUUUGAAAAAUGGUAGAGCAAAGCGAAGUGAAAUAAGAUUUCACGUCCGUGACAUGAAGGAAUCGACUCGUAGCAUCGAUUGGACCACGAGGCACAGUCAUUAAAAGUGGGGAACCAGUGGCAUAAAUGCGCAGUUUUGUGGGUAACAUAAUUGAUUCCAGCGUAGGAAAAGACGAAAUCGGUGAGAGCUGAUAAAAGGGCAGCCGGGGUUGGAUUGGUUCUGCAAGGGAGGUGGAACUCAUUCAUGUAGAAAGACUUGGAAGGGUGCUUCUUCCGUCGAUGGUGUCAUGGAAUGAAAUAUAAAGCAAGGUGCGACUCAUCUGUUCUCUUUCUAAACACCAUGGCUUUUUGGUUCGAGAUGUUUAUAGCUAAAGCAUGUUGAGAAGUGAUUUAAUGUUCAAGUGCUUGUUAUAGAGGACUGAAAUCAUCUCUAUUUUCUUAAAAAUCUUGAGCGUUCUGUAAGAUGUUUAUGGCUAAAGCAUGUGGAGAAAUGAUUUAAUGUUCAAAUACUUGUUACAGAGGACAGAAAUCAUCUUGAGCGCUAGCUAUUUUCUCAAAAUUCUUGAGCGUUCAUCCUUUCUAUUCCGGAAAAAGUGAGAGUCGCAUGGAGAUUAGGGGAUGGUGGACCUGCUUCACUGUAAGCAUAUAUCAAGCGUACAGAAGAAGGAUUGAUUGCAAAGAGAGUAUUGUGACAUGGAAGAUUGGUUGGGAUGGACAAAAAAAAUUCUUGGAUUUCAAGCAAAGUGGGCGUGGGAGGUAUCGGCAAAAUUAUCACGGUGUAGCUGGUCCUAAAGGGAAAACAAUAUAUGUUUGUUCUUGAAUAUGAAUCAGAAUGCACUCGUUCUAGAUGAUGUCUGGAACAAAAAGAAAAUAUUGAAAUAUUUGUUCAGAAAUCAAAAAUGGAUCUUAAUAUUUUAUUUUUGGAUGAUGUCUGGAAUGAAGACAUCAAAUAUUUAGUCGUGCACAAAGGAUCCAUGGAAUGGAUGAAUAAAUGAUUAUUUUUGGUCAUGAAUCUAGAUGCAUGAUUUCUGGACGAUGUAUGGAAUGAACAUAUGAAAUGUUUAAAGGAUUAGCAAUACACUGAGCAUGUUUGGAUUUGGAAGGUCAUUUUUUUGCCAAACAAAGAGCUUCUAGUCAUUUUUUUAUAAAUAUGAUAUGUUUUUAUGAUAUAUGAGCUAGGAAUCAGAAAAAAUAUCUGAAAAGCAGAUCAAUUUAAUGCAAAAUUUGCAUUUGUCAAGGAUUUUCUCUCCUUUUCAUGACAACCCUCUGGCAUACCAAACUUGGGUGUAGUUUCAGAGUUCUACUUCAAAGAGGUCUUCCAGAAAAUAUCACUGACAGUAUGACUUUUUGCUCGGUUUCAAAAAUCUUAUGCUCUCUAUCUCUCUUUCACCCCAUAGUUAGGCCUCUCAGUUAGGGUGAAAGGGAUUGGAUUUGCAAGCUUUUGGUGUAUCACACAGCUUUCACUCUUAAAGCUUCAAAGGUGGAAAGGGUUUUUGUUGAUAUAUGUUGGAGGUGAUGGGGCUUCUUGCAUAAAGCACAUGUGUGGCCACACUGCAUGUACAUAGAGUUUUGAGGAGUCACAAUUUUGUGAAUUUACCAAACAAUAGCCUGAAAGUUCAUACUGUAGCAGUAUCCAAGUUGAUAUCUUCUCCCAAGUCAUGUGACAAGAUGGACAUAGCCAUGCAUGCACUUGGAUGCAGAGGCCACCCUUUUCUGUUCUUUGGGGUCAGAUGCCUAACCAUGCUGGGCCAUUGGUGAACUCUGAUGCCAAAAGACAGCUGCAUGGAGGGUGUGUAUGAUGAAGGAGAGAGUGAAGUCCGUGGAUCAGAAAUACACUAUGAUGCCAAGCACAUCAGCAUUACAACAUGAGGCCAUGCAAAGAGCUCUAUGAUGAGUGUAAUUCUGCUGGCAUAGUGUGCAUCCAUCUUUGGCUAGGGUGCCUUGCAGGCAUGCAGUUCCAUCCCACGAACCGCAAUUUUUGAUUCCUCUUUUCAUAUCUGAUCACAUCAUGAUGCAAGAUGGAGGAAGUAUGACAUGCUGUAAUUGCUAUUAUCAAUGGAGAAGGGGAUUUGUUGCAAACCUGUAAUUCAAUAAUAUAGUUUAUCUUUAGUAUGUUGGCAAAGUUGAGUUAUAGAAGCAUUUGUUACCAGUUAACUUCAAUGUCAACAUGUUUCCUCUUAAUUUUAACCGAACAAAGUCUGAUUAAAGCAUUGGCCCAGUAUUGUGAACUACUAUCUGCUUGCAUGUUGUGGUUGCAGGAUCAUAUGGUAGCUAUGAGCUAGUAAACCCAGGAUCAGUUUAUAGAAGCAUUUUUUCAGUA